GGGCAUUGUCAGAUGGAUUUCACAAAAUAAUGGAAUAGUUUGGGUUCGAAGGGACAAUAAAGAUCAUGUAGUUCCAACCCCUCUGCCAUGGGCAGGGACACCUUCCACUAGACCAAGUUGCUAAAAGCGCCAUCCAACCUGGCCUUGAACAAUUCCAGGGAUGGGGCAUCCACAACCUCUCCGGGCAAUAUGUUCCAGUGUCUCGCCACCCUCACAGUGAAGAACUUCUUCCUUAUCUCUAAUCUAAAUCUACUCUCUUUCACUUUAAAUACAUUACCCCUUGUC